rnacentral:lncRNA from 1 species
UGAAUAGCAUGCAGUAACUCAAUAGGAAGAGUCAUUCGACAGAAACCGUGAAUGAGAGUACACGCGUUUUUUGUUUUCAAACGGAAAACUGUUUUAGCGCUCCGUUGAUCUAAUGUUGUGCAAGGACAACCAUCGUUAUUUUAAGAUAAUACCAUGGUACGUACUUACAAGAAAAAAA